GGGGCUGACCGGAUUUGACAGCAAGAUGAAUAGGUUUGUAAGCAUGUCGUGCUUUGAGAGUUCGCACGUAAAUAUAAGUUCUCAAAACCUUAAUUGGCGAAAAUAACUACGCUCUUGCAGCAUAAUCGAAGUUUAGUAGAUUAGCUUAAUUUCAGGACUAGGUCUUGAAACAAGACAUCUCUCGGGAGGUUCCGUUUUAUCCCAUCCCGACUCAGAGGUGCUCGCAAUGUAAAACUAGGAAAGAUGAUGUUCGUGCGUUUUUCCGAAACUCUAUCGAACUAAGGAUUGAAUAGGUUGUUCUACACCGGCUCUCUCUCGAAAAUUCAAGUAAAGCUAAGCAUGUAGAAAGCACUCAAAUUCCUUGUAUGGACCGGGGUUCGACUCCCCGCAGCUCCACAA
rnacentral:tmRNA from 1 species